AGAGACAGACGCCGCUGCCCUCCCAGCUCUCCCUACCAGUAAGUGCUUUGCCUUUUAAGCUUCUCUAAACGAAUUUGGAUCCCACUGGCAUGUACUAUGUGGUACUCAACAGAAACAAAAACAAGGUGAAUUAGUGCCAACCCUAAAUGACUCAGUUUGGUUUGAUUGAAACAGGUUGAAUUAGUGUCGACCCUAAAUGACUAAAUUUGGUUUGAUUGAGACACAUUAGAUUACUGAAAAAUGGUUUGAUUGUGGGCAUUUUUAUGCUAUAUUAUGCUUUGAUCAGAUAGAUUACUCACAGUGGUCUUCGAGUGCGGUGGUCUGCAUCCAAGGUGUUUGUAAAAAUGCCUCAUACAAAUACAAUUGAAGCUAGAGAUUAGAGUUGUAUAAGGAGCCGCUAUUUCAACACAAAGAGUUUGGUAGGGAGCCGCAUCUUUCUUUAGUUGGGUUCGAACAUCGAUUUUACAAUUUAAUCAUUAGUUUAAAGAAGCUUUCGUCCAUCUCAUUAGACGCUCUCAUUCACGUCUAUUGAUUUGUGAAGAAAGGGGAAAAACAAAAAGGAAAGCAAAAGCGCCCUCUUUCUGUCUAUUUUUUAAUAUAUAUAGAUCCCCAAUUUUGUAGAGCCUAAUUUAUACAGUCAGUUGAGUCUUAUUAAUUAAAUUAAAUCCCCAAUUUUUUACGUGUUUGAUCAUUGUUAGAAGCCUCCGCUUACUCUAAGGGCUUUUCCGAUGUCUUUAGAGCUCAUAGUGGUAGAUUUUUGUGUUUUCGUUUUCUUCUGAUAUGCAGUAUUGUUUUGGUUAUUAUUGUGGGAAUUUGGGCUUUUUUGCUUCAAUCAGUUGCGAUUUCCUUUCGGAUUUCUUUGAAAGGGUUACAUUUGAGCUUAGUUUUCUAAGAUUUAUGUGUGAGAUGAUAUCUGACCUUCAACGGCUCGAUCCAACUCAUUUCUUACGUUUUGCUCUACAUAUUCAGGUGGAUGGCCGGACAAUACCAUAUGCAUUACGUCUGAAAUCAAUUCAGCUCAUACAUUAAGCAGAGGGGUGGAGGAAAAAAACAAAACUAGGUUCUAAACUUAAACAAAAACAAAACUAGGUUCUAAACUUAAACUUUCAACAGUAAGGCAAAGGCAGGGUUUUGCAAGGACUAAAGUACUUCCAUGUUUAAUUUGAUGAUAAAGAACGCUUUAACUUACAACUGCAUCUCAUUUCAGUUUCUUAGUUUUCACAUUGAGCCCAACUUUGCAAGAGGAAAGAGGUAUGCAUUUUUUAACAUGUUGCUCAGUAUUGGAUUCUCCAUGCGGGGUGAGUUCUCUCUUCAAUAAAGCUCUAAGUAAGAUAAUGAAGUCUGAAUUUCAUAAUCGUUAGCUUUUUGGUGAUAGACUGAAGCUACGAAUGAAGGGAACAUGGUUGAUUGUCAGAUGCUUUGUUUUAUGGCAGUUUGUGCUAAGGAAGUUUUGUUCUAUUUGCGCAUUAGUAAUUGAGAAAGGUGGUGCAAACCCAGGUAAAGAAACUUCAGAUUAUAGGUUGUUGCAAACCAGAUAUUAUGUUGCGUUGUGCCUUUAGGCCAGAAAAUAGUAAUUGGGGAGAGCAGGAUUGGGAAGGUGGUGGUCGAUGAUGUUGAUCAAUGACGGAUCAGUGAGAAAGGCAUGGAAAUUGAGAAGAGAAAGUCCAGAGGCGUAUGGGAAGAGAAAGUCUAGAGGCGUAUGGAAUUUUGUGAAGCAAAUACGUAUUUUUUGACAAGACCCUAUUUAUGACCCUCUUUUGUUAAGUCUUCUAACCUACCUUUGGGUGUGGUCAAUAAGAAGCCUUUCGAAUACAGUUGUGUUAUUUCCCAUAUAAAUUGAAACUGCAUUUUACUAUCUUCACUCAUGAUUGUUCAAAGAUCAUUUAGGAUGGUUCAGGUUCAAAUAUUUAUGUUUUGUUUAACUUUUUCUUCGUCUUUUUUUAUUUUUUAAUAUCAUCUUUAUAACUGAUGUUGGUUGGUUAUGACCUUUGUUUGGGUAUGCUUUCAAAAGCAUCCACAAUAAGGAUGAGAAAUGACGGUGGUGCAAGAGAGCAGCAAAAUUAUGGCAAGUGCUUUGCUUCUUAAGUUUUAAAUGCAACUUGGUUAUUUGUUAACAAGAGGUAUUUUUUUUCUCUAAGGUAUCAUUGUCUCAAACCAACAUCGUUCCAUUCUCUACGUCUCAUAAGAGCACCGUCACCGAUACGGUAUUUCUUUUUCUUCUCUGUAAAUUGAAAUGGUUUAAUUUAUGCCAAAAGUAGCUGAGAUCAGGUUAGCCGUAUAUUAAUUGAUGAAGGUAAAAAAAGAGAUUCAAAAGCAGGUGAAUUUUUUGCUGGAUAUGGCUUCCUGUUGAUUGUUGAUAGUUCAUGUGGGAUGGAGCGUGAGAUUAGUAUAGUUAUUCAUUAGCAUUGUGCGGGCAAAAUAAAAGUUCCUUAGCAUUGCUUCACUGCUUUUUUACUGGUUAUGUCACUAAAACUUUUUCAGUUCAUCUCCAGAACUUGGAGCAUGAAACCAAGUCUUCCAACAUUUUCCCCUUCUCUUUAAGUCCCUCUCCCUGUUUCCCCUACAACUUAAAUUGGUCUUGGGCCAAUUAUUACCGAUAAAAUGCCCUUUGUUGCUUGGUGUUCAUUGUGAUUUAAGUACUCAAUUACGUUUUCCAUCUUUAUGACUUCCGAAUUGGUACGUGUCGCCUUGGUCCUCUGCCAAUCCAAUCAUGUUCUCAUUGAUGGGCAAAGUGGAAGCGAGCAAUCAAGAAAAACAGUUCUAGAUGGCGUUCGGUAGAGGCUUAUAGAGAAGGUUGUGUGAGACCAUGAAGAUGAUGAUGAUGAAUCUUCAAGUGAUUAGGGGAAUUAUUUUAACUACUCUUUAUUUAUAUGGGUUUCUGUCGUAUAUAUUUACAAAAGCUGAGAUCAUGCUAUUAGUUGUUGAUGCUUUUGUUUUAAAGUAGGCCUUGAAAAAAGGACUGAAAGUAAUAGCUAGGAUGCUCAAGUUGGUAUAUAAGUAUUGGAAUUGAUGUUCAGACUUCAGACCACUGUACUUGCUCAAUGUUAUUAUAGAUCCAUCUUGCCCAUGGUGUUUGAUUAUUGAAGGUUGUUUUUAUCAUGGGAAGUUUAUUGUUAUUAUGCGG